rnacentral:rRNA from 1 species
UACAGAGGGUGCAAGCGUUGCUCGGAUUUACUGGGCGUAAAGCGUACGCAGACGGUAAGAAAGGUCGGAUGUGAAAGCCCCGGGCUCAACCCGGGAACUGCAUCCGAAACCAUCUUGCUAGAGUAUGGGAGAGGGAAGCGGAAUUCCUGGUGUAGAGGUGAAAUUCGUAGAUAUCAGGAGGAACACCGGCGCGAAGGCGCUUCGUGGCCCAUUACUGACGUCAGUACGAAGA